CUUUUAUCCCUGCUCAGGAAUGGCAGGAAAGGGAAGGGUGUGCGUUACAACUGCCCGGCCUGUCCACAGCCACCUCUUCCAGAUCCCAGGUUAAAAUAGUUAUUAGGGCAGGAAUUUAAGGCACAUGUUUGUAAGGUACACUGCAAACCUUGGAGCCAUUAAGCUGGUUUUUAAAAGCAAGGUGUUUAUAUUUCUUGCUUUCCUAGUUGCAGUUAUCACCUAAGAAGCGUCACAGUCAUUGUAAUGGAAAGAUACCCGCUGGCCUCCAGUUCAUCAAAGGCCUUCCACCCAUGGAAAGUGGUUUCUACGCACAGAGUGAUGCUCCUUUCGGAUUCAAGACUACUCAUAUAAAAGGGUGCUGUGCAAUAUAUAUAUAUCCUUGGGGAAGGCACAUGAUCCUCCAGUUCCACACAUAUAUCACAAAACAGAUGGCACCUGUUUCCUUCUCCCUGAACAGGUGAUCGUUGCUGACAAUGCC